UAGGGAAUCUUCGGCAAUGGGGGGAACCCUGACCGAGCAACGCCGCGUGAGUGAAGAAGGUUUUCGGAUCGUAAAGCUCUGUUGUUAAGGAAGAACGAGUGUGAGAAUGGAAAGUUCAUACUGUGACGGUACUUAACCAGAAAGGGACGGCUAACUACGUGCCAGCAGCCGCGGUAAUACGUAGGUCCCGAGCGUUGUCCGGAAUUAUUGGGCGUAAAGCGCGCGUAGGCGGUUUUUUAAGUCUGAUGUGAAAGCCCACGGCUCAACCGUGGAGGGUCAUUGGAAACUGGAAAACUUGAGUGCAGAAGAGGAAAGUGGAAUUCCAUGUGUAGCGGUGAAAUGCGCAGAGAUAUGGAGGAACACCAGUGGCGAAGGCGACUUUCUGGUCUGUAACUGACGCUGAUGUGCGAAAGCGUGGGGAUCAAACAGG
rnacentral:rRNA from 1 species